CUGGGGGGCGAUGUGGACUCUCAGUUACAAAGAGCGUAGGUGGGAGAUGGGGUGCAAAUGUGGAUUAGACCGGGCAGAGGGGCCUUUCGUGCUGUGACGCAACAGUCAGAUCAUUUCUCUUGGUGCCAGUAAGAAUAAUUUCUCUGAUCUACUGGCCCUGCCAGCCCAGAGAUCUCAGAAGAAUCAAAAGGCUGCUUCACUAGACAGCAUUCCAGGCUGCCUUAAUAUGCAUUGUGACCUCAAAUGGCUGCCAUGCCUUUGGUCAAUUGUUUUCACUUCAUUCAAUCAAGGAUUCAUUCCAUAAACAUCUCCUGGGCAGCAGCUCUUUCUGGGCGGUGUGUUAGACCCAGGAGCACAGCCAGGAACCACAGGAGACCAGUUCCCUCAGGCAAGGAGAGAGCAAGAACCAGUGUGCUUUCCUCUAUAAUUAUUACAAUGUUUCCACAGCCACCAGCUGAAUACCAAUACCCAGGGCAACUUUGGAAGUAGUCACACAUUGAAGAUGGCAGACAGUCUGUAGCCUGGGUUCCUGAAUGAAUGCCUCCAUCACAGACUGGAUUCUGCAAGGAUAAUAAAUUUAUGCACUCAACUGCAGAAAAUUUGGAGUUUGUUACACACGUAGCUGCAUAUUGUACACACACACACACACACACACACACACACAAAAGGUAAUUGCAUUAUCAGUUAUUCCAUGAUAUACAGUCACUUAAAUGUCAGCUUU